GAUGAACGCUAGCUACAGGCUUAACACAUGCAAGUCGAGGGGCAGCAGGACGAUAGCUUGCUAUUGUUGCUGGCGACCGGCGCACGGGUGAGUAACGCGUAUCCAACCUUCCCCAUAGUAGGGAAUAGCCCGGCGAAAGUCGGAUUAAUGCCCUAUGUUGUAUUUUGAGGACAUCUGACGAAUACCAAAGAUUCAUCGCUAUGGGAUGGGGAUGCGUCUGAUUAGCUUGUUGGCGGGGUAACGGCCCACCAAGGCUACGAUCAGUAGGGGUUCUGAGAGGAAGGUCCCCCACAUUGGUACUGAGACACGGACCAAACUCC
rnacentral:rRNA from 1 species